rnacentral:tRNA from 1 species
GGAGAGGGUUGCGGCUCAGUGGCACAGCCUCUCCUUGGCAUGCAGAAGGUCUCGGGUUCAAUCCCCGGCAUCUCCA